rnacentral:misc_RNA from 1 species
AAGUCGUAACAAGGUUUCCGUAGGUGAACCUGCGGAAGGAUCAUUAUUGAAUAAACUUGGUGUGGUUGUUGCUGGUCCUUUCGGGGGCAUGUGCACACCCAUCAUCUUUAACUUUCCACCUGUGCACAUUUUGUAGGUCAAAAUUUUUUCCCGAGACACGCGUUUCGUGGAAUAGGUUUUUGCCUAUGUUUUCAUAUACACCAUAAGAAUGUAACAGAAUGUAUCAAUGGGCUUCAUGCCUAUAAACUAUAUACAACUUUCAGCAACGGAUCUCUUGGCUCUC